rnacentral:rRNA from 2 species
GCGAUAGCGCGGUGGUCCCACCUGACCCCAUGCCGAACUCAGAAGUGAAACGCCGUAGCGCCGAUGGUAGUGUGGGGUUUCCCCAUGUGAGAGUAGGGAACUGCCAGGU